rnacentral:rRNA from 1 species
GAUGAACGCUGGCGGCGUGCCUAAUACAUGCAAGUCGAGCGAACAGACGAGGAGCUUGCUCCUCUGACGUUAGCGGCGGACGGGUGAGUAACACGUGGAUAACCUACCUAUUAGACUUGGAUAACUUCGGGAAACCGGCGCUAAUACUGGAUCAUAUGUUGUAUCGCAUGGUUCAACAGUUCAAGACGGUCUUGCUGUCACUUAUAGAUGGAUCCGCGCCGCAUUAGCUAGUUGGUAAGGUAACGGCUUACCAAGGCAACGAUGCGUAGCCGACCUGAGAGGGUGAUAGGCCACACUGGAACUGAGACACGGUCCAGAAUCCUAAGGGAGGCAGCAGUAGGGAAUCUUCCGCAAUGGGCGAAAGCCUGAAGGAGCAACGCCGCGUGAGUGAAGAAGGUCUUCGGAUCUUAAAACUCUGUUAGUAGGGAAGAACAAAUGUGUAAGUAACUAUGCACGUCUUGAAGGUACCUAAUCAGAAAGCCACGGCUAAAUACGUG